GGGGAAUAUUGGACAAUGGGCGAAAGCCUGAUCCAGCCAUGCCGCGUGGGUGAAGAAGGCCUUCGGGUUGUAAAGCCCUUUUGUUGGGAAAGAAAGACGUCCGGUUAAUACCCGGAUGGAAUGACGGUACCCAAAGAAUAAGCACCGGCUAACUUCGUGCCAGCAGCCGCGGUAAUACGAAGGGUGCAAGCGUUACUCGGAAUUACUGGGCGUAAAGGGUGCGUAGGUGGUUCGUUAAGUCUGAUGUGAAAGCCCUGGGCUCAACCUGGGAAUUGCAUUGGAUACUGGCGGGCUAGAGUGCGGUAGAGGGUAGUGGAAUUCCCGGUGUAGCAGUGAAAUGCGUAGAUAUCGGGAGGAACAUCCGUGGCGAAGGCGACUACCUGGACCAGCACUGACACUGAGGCACGAAAGCGUGGGGAGCAAAC
rnacentral:rRNA from 1 species